UACAGAGGGUGCAAGCGUUGUUCGGAAUUAUUGGGCGUAAAGGGCGCGUAGGCGGUGCGGUAAGUCUGCAGUGAAAUCUCUGGGCUCAACUCAGAGUCUGCUGUGGAAACUGCCGUGCUUGAGUGUGGGAGAGGUGAGUGGAAUUCCCGGUGUAGCGGUGAAAUGCGUAGAUAUCUGGAGGAACACCGGUGGCGAAGGCGACAUCCUGGACCGGUAUUGACGCUGAGGCGCGAAAGCCAGGGGAGCAAACGGG
rnacentral:rRNA from 1 species